rnacentral:rRNA from 1 species
UACGGAGGAGGCAAGCGUUAUCCGGAAUUAUUGGGCGUAAAGCGUCCGCAGGUGGCACUUCAAGUCUGUCGUCAAAGACUGGGGCUUAACCCUGGAAAGGCGGUGGAAACUGAAUAGCUAGAGUGCGGUAGGGGUAGAGGGAAUUCCCGGUGUAGCGGUGAAAUGCGUAGAGAUCGGGAAGAACACCGGUGGCGAAAGCGCUCUACUGGACCGUAACUGACACUCAGGGACGAAAGCUAGGGGAGCGAAUGGG